GUUAAAAGGAUGUGGACCAGGCAGAAACAGCCAGGAUAGUCCUAAAAAAUAUUGGGGAAAUGAUUGAGGUAAUGUAUCGUGGAGCUGGAAGGAAGGACUUGAAAUCCAAAGAAGCUGAAAGAUGGUGAGAAAAUGGACAGCUGGAGGAACUGAAGGUUUUGAUAUGGUUGAAGUGAAGGUGAAAUUAGAGGAGAGAAGAAGGGCUGGGAGGCAGUAGGUGGUGAUUUUGGAGUCAAAACAUUCCAUAUAAUGGGUGCAGGAAAAUGUUUCAGGAAAACGUGUUUAAAGUAAACUAGGUUUAUAAAAACCAAAAUCUGUAUCUUCCAUACAAAAUGGAAUUACGCAAUUUUUAUGUGUCCAUAAAUGUGUUCCAUGGGUGAUAAAAUCAAUAAAAGUACACUUUCUUCCACUGAGGACUCUACAAUGAUUUUUUGAUUUACUAAAAGAUUUUUCACUUUUCACACAAAUCCAUCAUACAUUUUAUAAAAUAAUAAACAAUUUCUAAUAUGGGCAUAUGAUGAUGACAUUUGACACAUACAAAUGGGUCCUGUACACCAAUUUUACAAAGGUAUUAAAUGUGGAUUUUUUCUCAGCGUUCCCAGUUUAGAAAAUAUUUCAGGAAAUUACGUUCUUAUAAUAAAUUUUUAGCAACUGUACAGAACAGUGGUUCUCAAAGUGCGUCCCCUGACGAGCAGUAUA
rnacentral:lncRNA from 1 species